GUUGACCUCGGAUCAGGUAGGAAUACCCGCUGAACUUAAGCAUAUCAAUAAGCGGAGGAGGGGAGACCAACAGGGAUUG
rnacentral:rRNA from 1 species